rnacentral:lncRNA from 1 species
CCAUGGAUGCUCACCGCUUGUCGCACAUGGACCGGGAACCAAAUCAUUUUGAAUUGGCAGAAAAGCUGUUCUCUCAGCAACUUCAACAACAUCCACAUAGUUUACUGUCUGCUCAUAACAGCCACGUGAAUGAAGCAAUGCUGGAAAGAGGGGCAAGCCAUAAUUCAGUACACCACCCACAGGUUGCCAGUCAAAUUGAGCAGGAUUUGGAACGCGUUAUGGCCAGCCACGUGAAUGAAGCAUUGCUGGAAAGAGGGGCAAGCCAUAAUUCAGUACACCACCCACAGGUUGCCAGUCAAAUUGAGCAGGAUUUGGAACGCGUUAUGGCCCUUCAGCUGCAGCACCAG